AGUUGCAGAUCAUGAGAAGUUAGUGUUAGUUAUCGGAUGUUUGUUUUCGUAACGGAACCGGAAUUGCGUGCUUAAAAAAAUAAAGCUGAUAUUUAACUUAACCUUCUAGCUGAUAGACAGUGUGCAGCACAAUUUGGAGUUACCGCUACGAUCCUGCAGGCUCUACCGGUUUCCUUCAAUCAAUUUACGAACGUAUGAUGACUGGCUUGUUAGAACAGUUGCGUACUUUGAUAUUAGCCAGAAGACUCACAUUGUGUGCUUAUGGACGGAAAAAUCAAAAACAUAAAGACAAAAAUAGUAAACAGCAAUCGAAAAGAAUACGUUCUGUAUCUGUCUCAUAAGUGAUAUUUAUAUAGUCUCUAGACUCGUGCCGUAUCCUUCCGGUAGAUGGGGAAUGAGCCGUAAUCACAUGUUAUCUGACCUGGUAUAUCCAAUAAUGCCAAGGGAUAACAAACAUAGGAAGUAGGAUUUCGGACAGAACACGGAGCAAAAACCGACACCAAAUCCGGCAGCCGAGAAGUAAAACGAGAUAUAUGGUAACCUCUUGAAACAUCUGAUAAGCACUGCUAAAAUAUAAAAUCAAUUUCCUGAAAUCGCAGCUUUUCAAUUCAUAUCGAAUAGGAUACGUAUCUGUUGGAUUUGGCACUCAACUCCUAUAGAAAUCGGCGUUUUCGGGGCAACCGUUUAAUGAACUGUAUCCGCGAUGCAUCGGUGGUUAAGCUGGAGCCUAACCUGAAAGCUGUAACCAGCUGGAAGCGCAUGGGAAAAUGCACACACACACAAUUUGGUACCGGAAAUGGAGGCGGUUGGCUUAUUUUCUCUACAUGCUGUUGCUGUGUCACGUUUCGCGGCGAAACGGAACGGUUGAAUCCAAUAUAAAAAUAAUUCACUAUUUAUGUUUGUUUUACGGCUUCUUUAUUUAUUGAAAAAAUUCCUACUGUGAAACCGAAAUGUAGCCGUUUGCUGUGUGGCAUAAAGAGCAUCGAGUAUACUGAUGAUUCAUUUAAACCAAGCACCAUUCAUCGGUUUAUACUGAACCACUCAGUCAGGGGGCGGUGGUGAUAAAAUUGACAAAAUAAAAUUGAUAUUUCAUUUAUAAAUAAACAAGUGAUUGGAAAAAUAAAAUCGGUUCAAGGCGCUGAAUGAUUCACAGCCGAGAAAAGUAAAUAAAAAUAUGUUCGGAUCUGUAUACAACAACAAUCGAACUGGUGGAGGAAGAAAAAAUAAUUGAUCUCAUAAUGAUUAAAGCCAUGCGACUCAACGUUUUUAGUUAUUAUUUUUGAAAAAAAAACAAAGUUUCAAUUUUUAAUAUAUUUUACGUCUAAAAACGAAAAGGAAGUGUCAUUCAUAGUUAUGUUUCAUGUCUACAUUGUGGCGAAAUUAGAAUAAAAAGUAAUUUAGUUAUUUGCAUUUCCACAUUAACAUUUAAAUAUCAGUUAUAGAUGAGAUUUAAAAAGAAAGAACAAUUAGAGGCGCUUCAUAAAAAUAUGUCGGUUUAUUAUAUUCAGGGAUUAAAACGUCUCUGAAAAAAAUAACAACAAUAAUUUCAACAAAUGUUGUUUUUCAAGUCGCGAAAAAUUCAAACUCUUCAACACGAUGUUUUAAAAACAAAAUUGAAACUACGUUCACUAACGAGCAUUGCUACAUAGAAGCAUAUUUUAUUAACGUACAACAUGGUUGACUGGGUCAAUUUUUUUUCACAAGAAUUCCACCCGAAUCGAAAAUUUAAAAUUUUCGUAUUUUUCGUAAAAUGAGGCGUUUUAUUAUUACAGGAGAACAAACAAAACAUGAGUGAAUCCAAAUUGUUUUGUGAUCGAUUUUAUGAUUUUUUGAAGUAGAAAAGUGGAAUAUACUAUUUAAGUUUCUCCAGAAUUUUAUAUAUUCCAUCUUACAUUGAUCGAUGAUCUGCAAACUUGCUCAAUAACCGUUUCACAAAAGAAAAACAAGAAAUAAACUAAACAGACAGUACUUUACCACUGUUGAAUUGCAACUGACUUAAGUUUUUCGAGUUGUUUAAAUUAGUUAGCUUAAAAAUAAACGAGAAACAGGAUAAAAACCUUAACACACAUCUACGGUAGUACGAGAUGAAAUAAUACCUGUAAAUCAGCCCACGUCUGCAGUCUUCGUUCAUAUUUCGCAUUCUCGUAAAGCUACAUACGCUGAACACAGUUACCAAAGCUGCCAUGUCAUAACGUGAUCGAAAUUAUUUUAACCAAAAAAAAAAAAAAUUAUAAUAAUUUUAGAGCCGUUGCGCUUUAGGCGAAGUUGUUUCAUAAUGAUUUUGACCCAAAAAAUGAUUUUAGAGCCGUAGCGCCUUCAGUAAAGUCGUUCCAUAAUUAUUCGCCGUUUUUUAGAAAUUGUGUAAUGUUGGAUUAAUGG